rnacentral:rRNA from 1 species
ACCAGACUUGCCCUCCCAUAGAUACUCGUUAAAGGGUUUAAAUUGUACCCAUUCCGAUGACCGGCCUCAUAAGAGAACGGUCUCGUUAUUUUUCGUCACUACCUCCUCGUGCUGAGAGUGGGUAAUUUUCGCGCCUGCUGCCUUCCUUAGAUGUGUUCGCGAUUUCUCAGGCGAACUCUCCGGAGCCGAACCCUUAUUCUCCGUUACGCGUGAUCACCAUGGUAGUCAGAUACACUACCAUCGAAAGUUGAUACGGCAGAUACUUGAAAGACACGUCGCCGGUGCAAGACCAUGCGAUCAGCUCAGUUACUAUGAGUCAACCAGAAACAGCCGAAGCCGCUUGGUUUUGUUCUAAUAAAUGCACUCUUCCCGUGAGGUCAGAGCUUUAAUGCAUGUAUUAGCUCUAGAAUUACCACAGUUAUCCAAGUAGGAUUGUGUCAAGAUCAAGUAAAUUAUAGCUGUUAUAAUGAGCCAUUCGCGGUUUCACGAUUAAAUCGUUUAUACUUAGACAUGCAUGGCUUAAUCUUUGAGAUAAGCACAUCAGUUCAGGCAGGAUCAACCAG